UGAGCAACCUACCGAAAUGUGGGGGAUAGCCGGCCUAACGGCCGAGUAAUACCGCAUACGCUCUCGAUGAGGCAUUUCAUUGAGAGGAAACCUACGGGACAUUUCGAGGGCUCGCGGCCUAUCAGCUAGUUGGCGAGGUAACGGCUCACCAAGGCGACGACGGGUANCUGGUCUGAGAGGAUGGCCAGCCACAUUGGGACUGAGACACGGCCCAGACCUCCGUACGGGAGCAG
rnacentral:rRNA from 1 species